rnacentral:rRNA from 2 species
AGAGUUUGAUCAUGGCUCAGGAUGAACGCUGGCGGUAUGCUUAACACAUGCAAGUCGAACGGGGAACUUCGGUUUCUAGUGGCGGACGGGUGAGUAACGCGUGAGAAUCUGCCUUCAGGACGGGGACAACAGUUGGAAACGGCUGCUAAAACCCGAUGUGCCUACGGGUGAAAUAUUAAUAGCCUGGAGAGGAGCUCGCGUCUGAUUAGCUAGUUGGUUGGGUAAUGGCUGACCAAGGCGACGAUCAGUAGCUGGUCUGAGAGGAUGACCAGUCACACUGGGACUGAGACACGGCCCAGACUCCUACGGGAGGCAGCAGUGGGGAAUUUUCCGCAAUGGGCGCAAGCCUGACGGAGCAAUACCGCGUGAGGGAGGAAGGCUCUUGGGUCGUAAACCUCUUUUAUCAGGGAAGAACACAAUGACGGUACCUGAUGAAUCAGCAUCGGCUAACUCUGAGCCAGCCGCCGCGGUAAUAC